rnacentral:rRNA from 1 species
AUUGAACGCUGGCGGCAUGCUUUACACAUGCAAGUCGAACGGUAACAGGGAGCUUGCUCCGCUGACGAGUGGCGAACGGGUGAGUAAUAUAUCGGAACGUACCCAAGAGUGGGGGAUAACGUAGCGAAAGUUACGCUAAUACCGCAUACGAUCCAAGGAUGAAAGUGGGGGACCGCAAGGCCUCAUGCUCCUGGAGCGGCCGAUAUCUGAUUAGCGAGUUGGUGAGGUAAAGGCUCACCAAGGCAACGAUCAGUAGCUGGUCUGAGAGGACGACCAGCCACACUGGGACUGAGACACGGCCCAGACUCCUACGGGAGGCAGCAGUGGGGAAUUUUGGACAAUGGGGGCAACCCUGAUCCAGCAAUGCCGCGUGAGUGAAGAAGGCCUUCGGGUUGUAAAGCUCUUUUGUCAGGGAAGAAACGGGAGUGGCUAAUAUCCAUUUCUAAUGACGGUACCUGAAGAAUAAGCACCGGCUAACUACGUGCCAGCAGCCGCCGUAAAAC